rnacentral:rRNA from 1 species
ACAUAUAAGAAGUGAGAAUGCCGGUAUGAGUAUCGAAAAGAAAGGUGAGAAUCCUUUCCACCGAAAGCCCGAGGGUUCCUGAGCAACGAUCGUCGACUCAGGGUAAGUCGGGACCUAAGCCGAGGCGGAGACGCAUAGGCGAUGGACAACAGGUUGAAAUUCCUGUACCGGAUGGAGUCAAUUGAGCGAAGGAGCGACGCAGGAGGGCACAUGAUCGCGCGGCUGGAAGAGCGCGUCCAAGUGCGUAUGCGUAGAGGGAGGCAAAUCCCCCUUUACAGAAGCAGAGACAUGAUGGGGAGUUAAAGGAGACUUUGACGAACUCAUGGAUCCCACACUGCCAAGAAAAACUUCUAGCGAGACGAAAUCCGCCCGUACCGUAAACCGACACAGGUAGGCGGGGAGAGAAUCCUAAGGUGCGCGGGAAAACCCUCGUUGAGGAACUCGGCAAAUUGCAUCCGUAACUUCGGGAGAAGGAUGACCCUGAGUAGGCGAAAGGGAGAAACCCCCGGAACAGAAAAGGGUGGCAGAAAAGAGGCCCAAGCAACUGUUUACCAAAAACACAGGUGCCUGCGAAAGCGAAAGCUGAAGUAUAGGUGCUGACGCCUGCCCGGUGCUGGAAGGUUAAGGAGAGAGGUCAGCGAAAGCGAAGCUUUGAACUGAAGCCCCAGUGAACGGCGGCCGUAACAAUAACGGUCCUAAGGUAGCGAAAUUCCUUGUCGGGUAAGUUCCGACCCGCAUGAAAGGCGUAAUGAUUUGGGCACUGUCUCAACGAGGGGCCCGGUGAAAUUGAAAUACCUGUGAAGAUGCAGGUUACCCGCGACUGGACAGAAAGACCCCAUGGAGCUUCACUGCAGCUUGAGAUUGAAUCCCGGUGACAUAUGCACAGGAUAGGUGGGAGGCUAAGAAGUAAUGCCUUUGGGUGUUACAGAGCCGAUGUUGGGAUACCACCCUUAUGUUGCUGAGAUUCUAACACGGAGACUAACAACCUCGUGGACCAUCUCAGGCAGGCGGUUUGACUGGGGCGGUCGCCUCCUAAAAUGUAACGGAGGCGCCCAAAGGUUCCCUCAGGCCGGACAGAAACCGGCCGAAGAGUGCAAAGGCAGAAGGGAGCUUGACUGCGAGACAGACAAGUCGAGCAGAGACGAAAGUCGGGCUUAGUGAUCCGGUGGUACUGAGUGGAAAGGCCAUCGCUCAACGGAUAAAAGCUACCCUGGGGAUAACAGGCUAAUCUCUCCCAAGAGUUCAUAUCGACGGGGAGGUUUGGCACCUCGAUGUCGGCUCAUCACAUCCUGGAGCUGGAGUAGGUUCCAAGGGUUGGGCUGUUCGCCCAUUAAAGUGGUACGCGAGCUGGGUUCAAAACGUCGUGAGACAGUUUGGUUCAUAUCCAUCGCGGGCGCAAGAAGUUUGAGGGAGGCUGCUCCUAGUACGAGAGGACCGGAGUGGACGGAUCAACGGUGUACCAGUUGUCACGCCGGUGGCACGGCUGGAAAGCCGCAUCCGGAAAGGAUAAACGCUGAAAGCAUCUAAGCGUGAAGCCCGUCCCGAGAUGAGACUUCUCAUCAGCAAUGAGUAAGACCCCUUAAAGACGAUGAGGUUGAUAGGCUGUGAGUGGAAGUGGCGCAAGUCAUGGAGCGACGCAGUACUAAUAGGUCGAGGUCUUAGCU